GAUGAACGCUGGCGGCGUGCUUAACACAUGCAAGUCGAACGGAAAGGCUCCUGCUUGCAGGGGUACUCGAGUGGCGAACGGGUGAGUAACACGUGGGUGAUCUGCCCUGCACUUCGGGAUAAGCCUGGGAAACUGGGUCUAAUACCGGAUAGGACGAUGGUUUGGAUGCCAUUGUGGAAAGUUUUUCGGUGUGGGAUGAGCUCGCGGCCUAUCAGCUUGUUGGUGGGGUAAUGGCCUACCAAGGCGUCGACGGGUAGCCGGCCUGAGAGGGUGUACGGCCACAUUGGGACUGAGAUACGGCCCAGACUCCUACGGGAGGCAGCAGUGGGGAAUAUUGCACAAUGGGCGCAAGCCUGAUGCAGCGACGCCGCGUGGGGGAUGACGGCCUUCGGGUUGUAAACUCCUUUCGCUAGGGACGAAGCGCAAGUGACGGUACCUGGAGAAGAAGCACCGGCUAACUACGCG
rnacentral:rRNA from 1 species